rnacentral:rRNA from 1 species
AGAGCGGGAGCCCGGAGAUGGGCACUGAGACAAGGGCCCAGGCCCUACGGGGCGCAGCAGUUGCGAAAACUCCGCAAUGCGCGAAAGCGUGACGGGGCUACCCCGAGUGCCGCCCGUUGAGGGCGGCUUUUCCACGGUGUAAGGAGCCGUGGGAAUAAGGAGAGGGCAAGACUGGUGUCAGCCGCCGCGGUAAUACCAGCUCUCCGAGUGGUGGGGACGAUUAUUGGGCUUAAAGCGUUCGUAGCCGGCUUAACAAGUCUUCCGUUAAAUCCAACGAUCUAAUCGUUGGGCCGCGGGAGAUACUGUUGGGCUAGGAGGCGGGAGAAGCCGACGGUAUUCUCGGGGUAGGGGUGAAAUCCUGUAAUCCCGGGAGGACCACCAGUGGCGAAGGCGGUCGGCU